UGGUCUACAACACCGGCCUGUCACGCCGGAGGUCGCGGGUUCAAAUCCCGUCAUCCCCG
rnacentral:tRNA from 1 species